rnacentral:misc_RNA from 1 species
UACAGAGGUCUCAAGCGUUGCGCGGAAUUAUUGGGCUUAAAGGGUGCGUAGGCGGAAACGCAAGUGUUUUGUGAAAUCCCCCGGCUCAACCGGGGAACAGCAGGGCAAACUGCGUUUCUUGAGGCUGGUAUGCGCCGCCGGAACUGUAGGUGUAGCGGUGAAAUGCGUAGAUAUCUACAGGAACGCCGAUGGUGAAGACGGGCGGCUGGGCCAGUUCUGACGCUCAUGCACGAAAGCGUGGGGAUCAAACAGG